rnacentral:rRNA from 1 species
AUGGCCGCCGGUGCUGGCGCUGCUGCUGGCGUCGAUGCUGGCGGCCCCGCCGCCGACUGCUACUCCUCCACCGCCUCGCCUCUUCCUCCUCCUCGCCUUCCCAUCGCUCACGCGCAGGUCGCCCGACGGCAGGGAUGGUCAGGAAGGCUUCCCAGCCCGACGGUGCCGUCAUGGGAGCUGCAGGGCGGAGGUGAGGAUGCGUCGCUCGCGGAUUUGAUCGAGGGUGCCACGCCGCCGUCGCCGACUGGAUUUGCUCCUCCAUCGCCGCCGCGAGUCAACUCCACCGUUGUCGCCAGGAAUCCGUCCCCGGCAAGGUCUCCCUCGUUGCUCCUCCUCCUACAAUCUCUCCCACAAUGCAGGAGGAGCGGAAGGGGCCACGGAUGA